AACGAACGCUGGCGGCAUGCCUAACACAUGCAAGUCGAACGAGACCUUCGGGUCUAGUGGCGCACGGGUGCGUAACGCGUGGGAACCUGCCCUUAGGUUCGGAAUAACUCCCCGAAAGGGGUGCUAAUACCGGAUAAUGUCUUCGGACCAAAGAUUUAUCGCCUUUGGAUGGGCCCGCGUUGGAUUAGCUAGUUGGUAGGGUAAAAGCCUACCAAGGCGACGAUGCAUAGCUGGUCUGAGAGGAUGAUCAGCCACACUGGGACUGAGACACGGCCCAGACUCCUACGGGAGGCAGCAGAGGGGAAUAUUAGACAAUGGGCGAAAGCCUGAUCCGGCAAUGCCGCGUGAGUGAUGAAGGCCUUAGGGUUGUAAAGCUCUCUUACCCGGGAUGAUAAUGACAGUACCGGGAGAAUAAGCACCGGCUAACUCCGUG
rnacentral:rRNA from 1 species